rnacentral:misc_RNA from 1 species
AUGGCUACUUUAUUGACAACAUCGUCGAACACAAAAAGAUUCUCGCAGAUUAGAAAUAUGCGGCAAGGCAGCGUGAUAGAUAUAGACGCCGAUAUGUUUCUCAAGAUAUCAAACUAUGAGGAUACUGUCAGACAACUGGACAUAUAUUACGGAAUCGUUAAACGGCAACUGUUGCGUUAUCAGAGUUGCAUAACAGGCUUAUUUCCACAAAUCUCGACUGAUCGGGAGGUCGGCAGCGUGCGCGAAAGUAUAUACUGUGCUGCUGCGAUAUGGAGUCUGUAUCAAGCGUACAGACGUAUCGACGACGAUCGCGGAAAGUCGUACGAAUUGGGGCAAUCCGCGAUAAAAUGUAUGCGGGGUAUCUUGGAAUGUUGGAUAAAGCAAUCCUCCAGAGUAGAGCUCUUUAAGAAAAAUCAAUGUGAUCGUUAUGCGUUGCAUUGUAAAUUUCACUUGAACACUGGCGAUGAAAUUUAUAAAGAUGCCAACUAUCAUCAUUUACAAAUUGACAUUGUAUCCCUCUAUUUGAUAUUUUUGGUACAAAUGAUUUCGUCUGGGCUACAAAUUAUAUACACGCAAGACGAAGUGGCGUUUGUGCAAAACCUAGUAUACUAUGUUGAGAGAGCGUAUCGUACACCGGAUUACGGCAUGUGGGAACGUGGAAGUCGUUACAAUGAUGGAACUCCAGAAAUUCACGCCAGUUCUAUCGGGAUCGCCAAGAGCGCACUGGAGGCGAUCAACGGCUGCAACUUAUUCGGAGAGAAGGGCGCGUCCUGGUCCGUGAUAUACGUCGAUAUUGAUGCUCACAAUCGUAAUCGUAGUAUUUUCGAGACAAUGCUUCCGAGAGAAUCUAGUUCAAAGAGUGUAGAUGCAGCUUUACUACCAACAAUUUCGUUUCCUGCCUUUGCGACUCACGAAGAAAUUCUAUACAAUGAAACCAAGGCAAACAUAGUAGGCAGGCUGAGAGGCAAUUAUGGCUUUAAACGAUUCGGAAGAGAUGGUUAUAAAACGGUGCUGGAGGAUAAGCAGCGACGGUAUUAUAAACCUGGAGAAAUCAAGGAUUUCGAUAGUAUCGAGUGCGAGUGGCCACUAUUUUAUAUCUUUAUGAUAAUAGAUGGUGUAUUCAAAAGUCUACCAGAGCAAGUGGAGGAGUAUCAAAAUUUACUAAAAGCGAGAGUGCACAAAGAUCUCAAUGGAGAUCCAGUGAUUCCCAUGUACUAUUAUGUACCCAUUGAAAAUUUGGAAGCUGAAAGAUGUGAACCAUGCAGUGCUUAUCGUUUACCGAGCGAUGAAGGGAGAGCUUCUAGAUCUAUAGAUCAAGAUUCUGCGCCGAUGUACCUGUGGAAUCAAGCCAUGUUUGUGAUUGCGCAACUGCUGACUGCUAGCCUUUUGCAUAUUAACGAAUUAGAUCCGAUACGUCGAUAUCUACCAUCGUAUAAUCGUCCGAGACGUGCGGGAAGAUAUUCUGCUUUUCAGGCAAAGCCCAGCAGUGGCACUCACACCGACCUAGUAGUACAAAUAGUUCUGAUCGCAGAAUCUAUGCGAUUGCAAGCCAUGAUGGCCACAUAUGGUAUUCAAACGCAAACGCCACAUGAAGUUGAGCCAGUUCAGAUUCUUUCGUCUACUCAAUUAGUGAAAGUUUAUCAAAAACUAGGAGUGAAUAAGAAACUAAAUCUCCAAGGACGACCCGCACGACCUAUAGGUUCUCUAGGUACAAGUAAGGUGUAUAGAGUCUGUGGUAUGACGGUGCUCUGUUAUCCUUUAAUCUUCGAGGUAUCCGAAUUUUAUUUGUACAGAGACAUGGCUCUAUUAAUCGAUGAUAUUAAAACGGAAUUGCAAUUCGUGGGCAAGUAUUGGCGUCUCUCUGGCCGACCCACCGUAUGUCUCUUGAUACGGGAGGAACACAUGCGAGAUCCGCAAUUUAAAAAGAUGUUGGACCUCUUUGCGAUGUUGAAGAAAGGUUACUGUGAUAAAACAAAAGUUCGAAUCGGCCGUUUACAAAAUCUAAUUUCAUCCUCUUGCAUCGAGCAUCUGGACUUUGUAAAUACGAUGGAAACAGAUCUGGAUCUAACACAAUUUAGACAACUGCAGCAUGAUUAUAUUGGUUAUCAAAGCCUCACAGAUGUCCCAAGAGCCAUCGCUUACGCAGAAGACGUCACUGAUUAUUCUUGUAUGAUAAAUGAACCCCUGAGCAAUAUAUUAAACGAACUUCGCAAUAGCAUUGGUCUAUAUGCCAAGUGUCAACUGUAUGGUAUUCUCGUAAAACGAGAAGGAAUUAAUUACGAAGUUAAUGGAACGACAGUUCGUGAUAAUUUGAGAUCAUUAUAUCAACAAGCUGGAUCCUUAAGAUUUUGGAUGGCUGUACGUUAUUGCAGUAGUUUGUUGAAUCAUACAGUAGAUAGCAUCAGUCCCUUUAUUACUGGUGUACUAGUCAAAGGAAAACAGAUCGCAGUGGGAGUGAUUGGAGAGGAAGAAACGAUAUUCGACAAACCGAUGACUCCGGCGGAGAUACAAUCGGUGAUGUAUUCCACGAUACAACCGCAUAAUGUGGUACAGGCUGUGCUUCAGCAAGAGAUUCUAUUGUACUGUGGCAGGCUUAUUGGUACUAAUCCAGAGAUGUUUAAAGGCAUAUUAAAAAUACGUAUCGGAUGGGUCCUGGAAGCGAUGAAGCUCUACUUGCAAAUGUUCGUGAAGAAUGCCAAACCAAUCGAAAAUUAUAGUCCUUAUGAAGUUCGGCAGUUUCUCAUCAAAGUAUUGACUGUCAAAGAAUGGGCUCAUACAGAAAAUCUGACAGUGAUUGGCCGCCGCAAAAUUGAGGGUUGCUUAUGUAGAGUACCGACACACUUUUAUAAUCAAGUGUGGGAAGUUUUGAUGCGCUGCCCCGGUGGUAUCUUGGUGAAUGGACGCGAAUUACCUCAGCAGCCUACCGUAUCCAGCAUGACUCGUUCCGAGAUCACGUUUGCUCUGCUCGUGGAAUCUUUGCUACAUCACAUACAGAUGCCGGAAUAUCGUCAAAUCGUAGUUGAACUCUUGAGUAUUGUAUCGACCAUCUUGCUUCGAAAUCCAGAAUUAAGCUUCCAAAGAAAGCUGCAUCUUAACCAGCUUGUGGAAGAUAGUUUCAUCAUGUACUGCAAGGAUCACAAUUUAUCAAAUACCGAUGAUAAAUCAUCCUUUUUCUCUGCACAUUACUCGGUGACCACGGGAUAUCUCGCUAGAGCUGUAGUCAACAACGUUCUUACCGGUGGUUGCGUGACAACAAUUGUAGAUCCUAGCGAUGUUGAAUCACCCCGAGAAAUGUGUAAAAUUACAUAACGAUACGAGUCGGUAUCAAAAAGAUUAAAGAUCUAAAAGGGAGAUUAUUAUUUAAUAUUAGUAAGAAAGUAAUACAUGUAGACGUGUGUAAUGUAUCUGCUAUGUGUAUAUAUAUAUAUUAUCAGGUUCAAGAUAAAGCACGGUGAUGAUAUAGAGUCGAUCAGGUGCAAUGCAAAAUUUUCGCUUUCUCGGAUAAAAGUCAUCUCUUGGCGAAAUUCAUGUCCAUUGCGCGACCGGAACGUUGUAUGUUGUUAAUAUUGGCUUUAAUCCUAGAUGCGACAGUACCCAUUUCUGUCGCGACAACCAGUUGUUUCCUAUAACAAAUGCCAUAUUUUAAUCGAAUUAAUAUCUAAUAAUAUAUACAAAUUUAUUUUUUAUAUCGUAUAUUAUAUCUAUUUCGCGGAAAUGUAUGUAUAUAUAUAUAUAUAAACGUGAAACACGUCUAAUCGUGUACCUGAUAAAA